CCUACGGGGGGCAGCAGUGGGGAAUAUUGGACAAUGGGGGGAACCCUGAUCCAGCCAUGCCGCGUGUGUGAAGAAGGCCCUCGGGUUGUAAAGCACUUUCAGUGAGGAAGAACGCCUGGUGGUUAAUACCCAUCAGGAAAGACAUCACUCAUAGAAGAAGCACCGGCUAACUCCGUGCCAGCAGCCGCGGUAAUACGGAGGGUGCGAGCGUUAAUCGGAAUUACUGGGCGUAAAGCGCGCGUAGGUGGCUUGAUAAGCCGGUUGUGAAAGCCCCGGGCUCAACCUGGGAACGGCAUCCGGAACUGUCAAGCUAGAGUGCAGGAGAGGAAGGUAGAAUUCCCGGUGUAGCGGUGAAAUGCGUAGAGAUCGGGAGGAAUACCAGUGGCGAAGGCGGCCUUCUGGACUGACACUGACACUGAGGUGCGAAAGCGUGGGUAGCAAACAGGAUUAGAUACCCCGGUAGUC
rnacentral:rRNA from 1 species